rnacentral:rRNA from 1 species
GACGAACGCUGGCGGCGUGCUUAACACAUGCAAGUCGUACGGUAGGGCCCUUGCGGGGGUCCACGAGUGGCGGACGGGCGGGUAACACGUGAGUAACCUGCCCACCACUUUGGGAUAACGCUAGGAAACUGGCCCUAAUACUGGAUAUGUGCUCCUGCUGCAGGGUGGGGGUUGGAAAGCUCCGGCGGUUGUGGGUGUACUCGCGGCCUAUCUGCUUGUUGGGGGGGUAGUGGCGUACCAAGGCGGCGACGGGUAGCCGGACUGAGAGAGUGACCGGCCGCACUGGGUCCGAGAGACGGCCCAGGCUGCGACGGUAGGCAGAAGUGGGGAAUAUUGAACAAGGGGCGCAGGCCUGAUGAAGAAGCGCCGCGGGCGGGAUAACGGCCUUGGGGUUGAAGACCGCUUUCAGCAGGAACGAGGCGUUUUGUGACGGUACCUGAAGAAGAAGCACCGGCUAACUACGUG